GAUGAAGAACGUAGCGAAAUGCGAUAAGUAAUGUGAAUUGCAGAUUUCAGUGAAUCAUCGAAUCUUUGAACGCACCUUGCGCCUUGUGGUAUUCCACAAGGCAUGCCCGUUUGAGUAUCAUUAAAUCAUCAACUCUAAAACCUUUGUGGUUUUUUUAGAGCUUGGUCUUGAGGGUUUUGCAGGCUUUUUUUUUUCGUGUCUGCUCCCUUUAAAUGCAUUAGCGAGACUUCCCUAUGCUGAACCGUCUCUUUGACGUGAUAAUUAUCUGCGUCGAAUUUUGGUUCUCGUUGGGCUUGCUUCUAAUCGUCUGUUAAAGACAAAACGGAUUUGGGUGCAUAUAUGCGCCUUUUUCCAAAACCUUUUUUGAUCUCAAAUCGGGUAGGACUACCCGCUGAACUUAAGCAUAUCAAUAAGCGGAGGA
rnacentral:misc_RNA from 1 species